rnacentral:rRNA from 1 species
GAUGAGUGCUAAGUGUUGGAGGGUUUCCGCCCUUCAGUGCUGCAGCUAACGCAUUAAGCACUCCGCCUGGGGAGUACGACCGCAAGGUUGAAACUCAAAGGAAUUGACGGGGGCCCGCACAAGCGGUGGAGCAUGUGGUUUAAUUCGAAGCAACGCGAAGAACCUUACCAGGUCUUGACAUCCUUUGACCACUCUAGAGAUAGAGCUUCCCCUUCGGGGGCAAAGUGACAGGUGGUGCAUGGUUGUCGUCAGCUCGUGUCGUGAGAUGUUGGGUUAAGUCCCGCAACGAGCGCAACCCUUAUUGUUAGUUGCCAUCAUUNAGUUGGGCACUCUAGCAAGACUGCCGGUGACAAACCGGAGGAAGGUGGGGAUGACGUCAAAUCAUCAUGCCCCUUAUGACCUGGGCUACACACGUGCUACAAUGGGAAGUACAACGAGUUGCGAAGUCGCGAGGCUAAGCUAAUCUCUUAAAGCUUCUCUCAGUUCGGAUUGCAGGCUGC